rnacentral:sRNA from 1 species
AAUGAUGUCAAUUCAAUGUCCAGUCGCUACCAACUCAAUGGAAAUUAAUACAUUUGAGUGUACUAAUGUGUUUUUCUUGUGCGUGUUAAUAAAAAAUAUUCGAUGUAUGAAUGAUUCUUAACUGAUGUAGGAGUUGUAGGACACUAGCUAUAUCUUGAAUCACAUCAGAAAAGUUUAUUAAUUCUAAGUAAAUACGCAUAAGGAUUGACCAAUUAAUUCACAACAUAAAUAACAUAAAAUCAGAAAAAUCAGUUUUAAUAUUUAGCUCUAUCAUUAAAAGUGACGGAUUGCCCAUUGCUUUCCACAAGAUAAUAACUAUCGUGACUUAGCUAACUCGUUAAAUAAGCAAAAUUUCUCUGACGCUCAAAACUAUAAAAUCUAAUGAUGUUUGAAUCUUUAUCAAAAAAACUAGAAUUUGUAGCGACUUCGAAUACAUAACAACAAAUCAAUACAACACACUAUACAAACAACAAUAAAAAAAAGGAUAGAAAGAGAAACUAUUACAUGCAGGUAAUGUGGUUGCAGCCUUCACCCCGAUCAACUAUACUCAUACAGUUUUGACAUUUCAUCCAUCCUAGACUCUUUGUUGCAGCAUCAAAUAGUCCAAUCUCUGAAUUCUUAUAAGCCUUGGACUUAAUAAACUCAUCUCAAGUCUUUAUCUUACAUUUUUAGGCAUAAUUUGAAACUACAUUCAAGGCAUUUGGAAGGUUCAGUCUGAGAAUAACCAAAGUUGCGCUUUGACAUGAGAAGUGAACAAGAUGGGUUAGGACAUUACAUUUUGUCCAAAACGUGGAUCUUGUCCAUUUUUUCUUUCUGGAUUAUAAGAGUCAUUUGAUGAUAUCAGCAAUAUCGUGAAAAUAUUUUAAGAGAAUAACUAAUUCUAAAUCCCAAAAACUUUGGGUUCGAAAACGUAGGUUAAAGACGAAUGUGUUAAACAUUUUGAUCAAAGUUAAAGAGUUAAAAAUUUAUGUAACUUGCAAUAAUCAAAGAAAAAUAGAAACUUGGAUGAAGGCAUAAAUUUAGGGUUAUGACUUAAGGUAGAAAAGAGAUGUAGCAGUGCACGUGUGCUCCCAAAACCUCAUCAUCAUAGUGUAGUGUCAUGUGCAUAAUUAAAUAAAAAAACUCACUGGCUUGUACCAUUAUUAAUCGCACAAGGAGUAUUACA